UCACAGGGGUCCCUCCAAUGCAGAAUAUGGGCAGAAUAAGUGCUAACAAUGAAGUACCUGUCCAGAAGGAUCUAACAGCUAUGUUUUUAGUCAGGAUUAAUCCUGACUCCAACAAGUGCACUGCCAAGGAGCAGAUGAGCAAGACAACUGAGAGAGUGGUGAAGCAGAAGACGUCAUACAUGAACCCCCAUGUAAUCUCCUUCAUCAGGGACCUCACUGAAUUCUAUUUGCUAACUGACUAGAUGCAGGACAACUGGGAUUCUGGCUCUCCAAGGUCAGGGGACCAUAGACCUUUAUAUCAAGUGGCAGGGGAAUGAUAUUUGUAAGAAGUUUCUUUUCAUUUAUGUUUUAAAUGUUCAUGCACAUGUUCAUUAUUGUUUUAUUUUAUUUCAAUAUUGCCAUUGUGUUAAUCAUUGCUCUUUAAAAC